AUUGAACGCUGGCGGCAGGCCUAACACAUGCAAGUCGAAUGGUAACAGGAAACAGCUUGCUGUUUCGCUGACGAGUGGCGGACGGGUGAGUAAUGUCUGGGAAACUGCCUGAUGGAGGGGGAUAACUACUGGAAACGGUAGCUAAUACCGCAUAACGUCGCAAGACCAAAGAGGGGGACCUUCGGGCCUCUUGCCAUCCGAUGUGCCCAGAUGGGAUUAGCUAGUAGGUGGGGUAACGGCUCACCCAGGCGACGAUCCCUAGCUGGUCUGAGAGGAUGACCAGCCACACUGGAACUGAGACACGGUCCAGACUCCUACGGGAGGCAGCAGUGGGGAAUAUUGCACAAUGGGCGCAAGCCUGAUGCAGCCAUGCCGCGUGUAUGAAGAAGGCCUUCGGGUUGUAAAGUACUUUCAGCGGGGAGGAAGGGAGUAAAGUUAAUACCUUUGCUCAUUGACGUUACCCGCAGAAGAAGCACCGGCUAACUCCGUG
rnacentral:rRNA from 1 species